UUGAACGCUGGCGGUAUGCUUUACACAUGCAAGUCGAACGGCAGCACGGGGGCAACCCUGGUGGCGAGUGGCGAACGGGUGAGUAAUAUAUCGGAACAUAUCCGGAAGUGGGGGAUAACGUAGCGAAAGUUACGCUAAUACCGCAUAUGCCCUGAGGGGGAAAGGGGGGGAUCGCAAGACCUCUCGCUUUCGGAGUGGCCGAUAUCGGAUUAGCUAGAUGGUGGGGUAAAGGCUUACCAUGGCGACGAUCCGUAGCUGGUCUGAGAGGACGACCAGCCACACUGGAACUGAGACACGGUCCAGACUCCUACGGGAGGCAGCAGUGGGGAAUUUUGGACAAUGGGCGCAAGCCUGAUCCAGCCAUACCGCGUGAGUGAAGAAGGCCUUCGGGUUGUAAAGCUCUUUCAGCCGGAAAGAAAUCGUGCAACCUAAUACGUUGUAUGGAUGACGGUACCGGAAGAAGAAGCACCGGCUAACUACGU
rnacentral:rRNA from 1 species